AGUAUCUGCUAGGGGAGCCGUGUGGCUGAGAGAAAUCGUUGGAUUGAAACCCUUUGGACCUGAUCCAGGUUGUACUGGCGUAGGGAAGCGGUAGAUUGUUGUU
rnacentral:ncRNA from 2 species